CGCGCAGGCGGUCGAUUUAGUCGCGUGUGAAAGCCCCGGCUCAACUGGGGAGGGUCACGCGAUACUGAUCGACUCGAAGGCAGGAGAGGGUAGUGGAAUUCCCGGUGUAGUGGUGAAAUGCGUAGAUAUCGGGAGGAACACCAGUGGCGAAGGCGACUACCUGGCCUGUUCUUGACGCUGAGGCGCGAAAGCUAGGGAGCAAACG
rnacentral:rRNA from 1 species